AGAUUGAACACUGGCGGCAUGCCUUACACAUGCAAGUCGAACGGUAGAGUAGCAAUACUUGAGAGUGGCGAACGGGUGAGUAAUAUAUCGGAACGUGCCCAGUCGUGGGGGAUAACGUAGAGAAAUUUACGCUAAUACCGCAUACGAUCUAAGGAUGAAAGCGGGGGACCUAAGGCCUCGCGCGAUUGGAGCGGCUGAUACUCAGUAUUAGGGUUGUUGGUGAAGGUUAAAAGCUCACCAAGCCGACGAUCUGUAGCUGGUUGAGAGAACGACAGCCACACUGGGACUGAGACACGGCCCAGACUCCGUACGGGAGCAGCAGGUGGGUAAUUUUGGACUAAGUGGGACGAAAAGCCGUUAGACUCCGAGACGAAAUUCGGACCGUCGUAGG
rnacentral:rRNA from 1 species